rnacentral:rRNA from 1 species
AGUGAACGCUGGCGGUAGGCCUAACACAUGCAAGUCGAACGGCAGCACAGUAAGAGCUUGCUCUUACGGGUGGCGAGUGGCGGACGGGUGAGGAAUACAUCGGAAUCUACUUUUUCGUGGGGGAUAACGUAGGGAAACUUACGCUAAUACCGCAUACGACCUACGGGUGAAAGCAGGGGAUCUUCGGACCUUGCGCGAUUGAAUGAGCCGAUGUCGGAUUAGCUAGUUGGCGGGGUAAAGGCCCACCAAGGCGACGAUCCGUAGCUGGUCUGAGAGGAUGAUCAGCCACACUGGAACUGAGACACGGUCCAGACUCCUACGGGAGGCAGCAGUGGGGAAUAUUGGACAAUGGGCGCAAGCCUGGUCCAGCCAUACCGCGUGGGUGAAGAAGGCCUUCGGGUUGUAAAGCCCUUUUGUUGGGAAAGAAAAGCAGCAGGUUAAUACCCCGCUGCUCUGACGGUACCCAAAGAAUAAGCACCGGCUAACUUCGUG